CGCCAGCAACGCCGCCAUGCAUGCACUCCCCGCAUGCUUUGCUUGCUCGGCCGCAGCAGCCCGCACUACGCGGCAACCGUCGACGCUGCCUGCCUUCGCGCAGUGAUCUUUUCCUCAAGGAAAGUUACAAACUUUCCCUCAUCGAUCCGGCCGAGAGGUGCAUGAUGCUACUGGCUGCAUGACAGCUUUUUUUCACCCUCCACUCAAAAAGGAGAUGCCACAUGCUUAACACCCUCG
rnacentral:lncRNA from 1 species